rnacentral:sRNA from 1 species
GCCGUGCAUGGUGGCACACGCCUGUAAUCCCAGCGGCUUGGGAGGCUGAGACAGGAGGAUCAGGAGUUCAAAGUUAGCCGCAGCAAAAGUGAGGUGCUAAGCAACUCAGUGAGACCCUGUCUCUA